ACGCCAGCAUCCUAGCCGAAGCGCGGACCUCAGUCCCGGCUGGCCGUAUUACACCCUGGGCUAUAACACCUCCACCGAAGUGGAGGCCACAUUCCCAGAGCCUUUAUCCGGCCGCCGAAACUGAUGCUGGCCUGUCCAAACUGAGUAAACCGGUCAGAAGACCGGCCGAACAGUUUAAACAAGUCUGAUUGCAAGCGCUUCCCUUUCAACAAUUUCACGUGCUUUUUAACUCUCUUUCCAAAGUGCUUUUCAUCUUUCGAUCACUCUACUUGUGCGCUAUCGGUCUCUCGCCAAUAUUUAGCUUUAGAAGAAAUUUACCUCCCAUUUAGAGCUGCAUUCCCAAACAACUCGACUCGUCGAAGGAGAUUUACAUAGGGUGCCAUUUCCUGUCACAUACGGGAUUCUCACCCUCUAUGACGUCCUGUUCCAAGGAACUUAGACAGGCGGCUUCCCCAAAUCAUCCUCUACAAAUUACAAUGCGAACCCGAAGGCUAGCUUUCAAAUUUGAGCUGUUGCCGCUUCACUCGCCGUUACUAGG
rnacentral:rRNA from 1 species